UUCACUUCCAACAUCAUCAUGUGAAGCCUACGGUCACAAUACUUGAUUUAACACGGGUACGGGCCGCCCCAGGACACAGCUGGAUGGCAGCUGUAGAGCAUUUGGAUGUGAAGUGGGUGGGUGGGAGGUGCGGCUGUGGUGGGGAGGGUUCCUGGCAUCGUGAUUUGGUGGAUAAACAGAAAUGAAAAUCACAUUGCCAGGGAUUUCCACUCCUGCACAGUUCUUCAGGUGUCCCACACCUACAAAGCCUCCCGCUGGAAUGACAGAUAAUGGCUUACUGGAAUAUCGGCGAAGGCAAAAGGGCAUCUGGCAAGUUUCAAAAAGGAUGCAAACCUCAUUUGACACCCACAGCGCUUAGGCC